AGUGAACGCUGGCGGUAGGCCUAACACAUGCAAGUCGAACGGCAGCACAGUAAGAGCUUGCUCUUACGGGUGGCGAGUGGCGGACGGGUGAGGAAUACAUCGGAAUCUACUUUUUCGUGGGGGAUAACGUAGGGAAACUUACGCUAAUACCGCAUACGACCUACGGGUGAAAGCAGGGGAUCUUCGGACCUUGCGCGAUUGAAUGAGCCGAUGUCGGAUUAGCUAGUUGGCGGGGUAAAGGCCCACCAGGGCGACGAUCCGUAGCUGGUCUGAGAGGAUGAUCAGCCACACUGGAACUGAGACACGGUCCAGACUCCUACGGGAGGCAGCAGUGGGGAAUAUUGGACAAUGGGGGCAAGCCUGAUCCAGCCAUACCGCGUGGGUGAAGAAGGCCUUCGGGUUGUAAAGCCCUUUUGUUGGGAAAGAAAAGCAGCAGGUUAAUACCCCGCUGUUCUGACGGUACCCAAAGAAUAAGCACCGGCUAACUUCGUG
rnacentral:rRNA from 1 species